GGCUUUGCACAGUGGCAGUAUCAUACCAAUGAAGUUAAUCUGAGGUGUGAUUAUUGCACUUGAAAAUCUGCUCUCCUUUCCUGGUGGUAGACGUCAGUGUACAGUGCGCGAUGAACAGCAGAAACUGUUACCCAUCUCCCCUUUUUUGUUCACUCACCUAAGUGA
rnacentral:snRNA from 1 species